GGCGGCCCGGCUGCGUGAGGGAGGCUGCGAGCAGAGGGGGUUAGGCUGGUCGGGGGACAUAAGCCAACCCCAGCGUAGAUGGGGGCCUACACGGAAUGAAAAGAGUGGAGUCGAGUGGUUUGUAACAGGCUUUCGUUCUCUGCUGGAUGGGCGAAGUUUCGCUUUGACCUGAACUCGGUUCUGGUCCCGCUCAAAUCACUGCAGCCUUUGCCUCCACCUCGCCUUCUGCCUCUCCAGUUCAUCAGAAUGCCUGCGGCAGGAUCGCCUGCCUUCUGCUCGCCCAGCCAUGCCCGUCCCCUCCUUCACCUCCCCGCCUCAUCCCUCUCUUAUCUCACGGUAACUGUGAGGCCGGCCCUUGCCUCCGAAUCCUGCACGGCCGCACGGCCGCGUCCACCCGUAACUCUUCCCACGUCAUCUGCUCCUCCCUCUGUUGCCUGAUGGAGGCUCUGACCUCCUCCUGCCCUGCACGUGCUGCCCGCCUGUUGCUACGGUUGGCAGAUCUUCCACCAGCUUCCCCCUUUGGCUUGUUUUUCCCCCCUUCAGCUUUCAUGCAGAGAUCCUGCGCAACAUCCUGAGAGGGAUUUGGGCUUCACGGGGAGCUGAUGCCAGGAGGGGAAGCCACCCGGUGGGUCUGAACCCGCUGUAAGGAUUGAGACGGACCGUUCUGCCGGCAUAAACAGAAAUCACAUUAAGCCACAAGCAGAUGCGCUAGUCCUUGCGUGUUGACGUAAUGGUAGUUGUUGUUUCACUGUCACCGGGGUUCCCACUGUCGCAGAGGUGCAGACUCCUGCGGGAACGACGCACGACCAAGCCGAAGGGGCCAAGGGCUGUCUGAAUACUUUGCAACUGGAAUGUCUUUCAUGCCGCUUGCUUUCCCAGGGUUGGCAUCCUGCACAGAUGGAAGCAAAACCGCUUUGCUGAGAAGAUCUUCUUCCGGCACGACUCUCCUUCAGCCUGUCUCCAGCACUCGGCCCAAGUAAGGAGGAACACGGGCUUGACUGUGACAGCUCCGUGCCAGGAUCGUAAGCCUCGUGCCUGCAACGAGCUCCGUGUAAGCGAGCUGUCGUGCCUGCGUAGAGAGCUGCUGGUUUCAGCCGUGCCCAGAAGUACCUGCAGGAGAAGCCCUAGGCAUCGCGUUCGGCCUUCUUGCCCUCACGUGUUGUUUUCUCUCUGGUAUUUAGUAGGGGGAAUGGAGUGAUGGGGCUUUUUUCUGCACCGGGAGGGUCAGCUGACCUCCCAGGAGGUUUUUUCGCGUGAGAAGCAGAGAACAUUCGAAAAGGCGCUACGGAAGCUGGAAGACUCGUUCGUGCGUUGGCUGUCUGCGGUUUUGCUGGUGCCCGCGCGUUAGCCCCACGCAGCUCACCCCCCUCACUCCAGGUGAUGAGCCGCAGGGGAGCACAGGUUUACCACGGGCUGAGCCCCCUGCGUCUGCGCCUGGGGUCCUGCGGUGGGGGAGGCACCCCCCAAAUCUGCCCUUCCCUCCGACGGUGCAGCAUUCACCCUGGAGCAGAGCUAGCCCGUGACUGCCACGCUGCUCACAGAAGAACGUGGUGCUUCCCAAGCAUUCAAAGAAGAGAGGAAAUUAAGCGGAUCCCAGCAUGAAGGACCAGGUGGAGCUACGGUUAACACAGAACCUGUGGCUCCAGCCAAGCCGUUGAGUCCUGUUGCAGAAACAUUCAGAGUUAUUCAGGGGGCAGUGAGCGAAGAGUAUGUGAGAAGUACUCAGGGUGUCUUUCAGUUUGAAUUAUCUGGUGAUGACGGAGGCACUUGGUACAUCGACCUGAAAACCAAGGGCGGCAGCGCCGGUUUUGGAAAGCCUCCUGUGACGGCCGAUGUGGUUAUGAGCAUGUCGAGUGCCGACUUUGUGAAAAUGUUCACAGGUAAACUAAAGCCAACCCUGGCCUUCAUGUCAGGAAAAUUAAGUGUUAAAGGUGACACAGUGCUGCUAGCAAUGAGUCUGGAAAAGAUGCUGCCACAGUUCGUUUUUGAACACUAGUGGAACAGUGGCCUUUCAUAUAUAACUAUAAUGCUCUUUUAAUGCACCAGUCCUCAAUUUUUCUUUGAUGCAGUAUAAGUAUCAAUAAAAUUUGUAAUUGUUAAAUUGCAAUGCCCAACAACGAACACACUUUUCCUUAAAACUUGCUAUAAUGAUUAAAAGAAAAAUGAUGUCCCCAAAUUCUGAUGUUUCAAGGAUAGUUUUUUUUCAUUUUCACUUUUUCCUCUGAUUGCAAACUGUCCUCUGUUACUGUGAGUUGUAGACCUAAUAGGACUUUAUUUCUUAUAAUGUUACCUUGUCUUUGAAUUAGCUGCUGUCUAAUGAGAUGUGAGUUCUGAUCCCAGGAUUAGGGGAUGCACAACAUGUCUCCAGUGUACUGUAAGAGUUGAACUCAGCACUAACUUUUCCUCUGACUGGGAGACAAAUAGCACUUUUCUCUCCUGUACUGGUUUCACAAAACUUGUAGGAACUGACCAUCUCUAUCAGAUGUUAUUAAAAAAGGCUGAUGAUCCCAAGCUGUUGGAAAACACAAUGUAUGUGCUUGUGUGCAAAGUAUGGUCACAUAAAUUUUCUUUGGGGAGUCACCUCAAAAUACAAAACAUCUUUUGAAACCUACAGAUACUAGAAAGUGUUUUUCCAGUGAGCAUACAUAUUGAUAGUACAUUUCCAAACACUGUCCUGUAACACCGUAAGAACUGAAGCAUAUCAAAGAACUCAGGUAUUGGGAGCAAGGUUGUUUAAUUUCAUACCUAUUUCAUCAUCAACACCAUGCCUUUGCAGUUUUCCCUUCUGCGCAACUUUUCUGCCAAAGCUUUUUGUUUUUCAGUAUUGCAGGGGUGGAGGGGAAAGGUGUGCAGCAUCCAAUUCAAUAUUAACUAUGGCCUGGUACCUGAAGGAAGAAUGUGCUUAUUUGCUUCCCUGCUUGCGUCUAUAGUUAAUGGUGUGUGUGUUUCUUGUGCAGUCAGUAAUACCGCUCUUGCACAAAAUGGUUGGUAGUUGUGAAUGUGAUUUGGUGAUGGACUGUGAUGCCUGUGUAAUCCUAGAGAAAGGUGUCAUCUUUAGAAGAGAAAUGCUUUUGUUGGAGAUGGAUCCAGGGCAGCACAAUGUGGCUGUGUUUCUUCUCUCUCUAGCACAUCAGUAGUGUUGUUUGCAUGAUGGAAGAGUGAGAGCUUACCAUGCUGCUCUGGGGGAUACUGACUGCUACUGGCAGCCAGAUCAGGGCUGUGCCUGACCACUGAUGCCAUUCUGUAAUUAACUGCUUAGGCCAGGGAGAGGAGGGCAGGAACUACCACAUCCCGCACUUUGAUUGGUAUAAGCAGUUAUGGAUUCACGCCCAACAGGACAAGCAAUUCAUUAGCAAGAAAAACAGAAAACUUGGACCUCUCUUUUUCAAUUAAAUAUAUUUACACUAUGCUACUUGACCCAAGAUAAGUGUGCAUCCUGGAGGCAGCAUCGUGAGUGUGUGGGUAGGUAUCCCACUGCCUUCACCUCUGAGUCCUUAGGAUAAGUGAGGUGGUGGCUGUGCCAUGGGAUGGGUGCUGUGGGACCGGGCGAUGCUGAGUGUUAGGGAUAUUUGAUCCUUGCAUUACGAACAUUUAUAUUAUGCCAUUCUUGGGGCUUCCGCUGUAAACAGAAAUAGCUGAAAAACAGUCUGCUGUGCACUGUUAGGACAAAAGCUACAACGGGUGCUGUAAUGGAAGAAUUACUGCAGGUAUUUGCAUUCUGCAGAGGAUUUUUCCAUGAGGGCAGAAAUGUGUUUCUUUUUAAUCCGUUGCUCCGUUCACAGCUUUUGAGGCCGAUAAAAAUGAAGUGACUAAACAAACUGUGACUGUUCUGCUACUGUGAGUAACUGGAGAGAAAGCUACAGGUUCUUUGGGUGACAGCUCCGGCUGAUAAUUGAAGGAAAGUGCUCUAAGACCCAUGUACAACACAGACACUAUCUGCAUGCUGCUGACAGUAAUGAACAGGACUGAUGGCUCACCGUACUGCGAAGGAAAUGUUGGUCUUUUUUUGCCUGUAAGACGUUUAUGUUAUUCAUCUAAAGCAGAAGUAAUUUUCAAUACAGAAAGAAGCUCAUUCUUUAAAUUUUGAAAUCAUUUUUGUAAGAGCUCUGUCUUCCACGCAAACGUUGAAGAAAUCAGAAGCUUUUCUGUAUUGCAGCAGUUCAUAUUCUGUCUGAUUUACACACACAGAGCGCUGUCAAGCUCAUUUGUCCUUCCACAAGAAAAAAGCGACUGAAACUGCUUCAUUUUUGUAGUAGAAGCGUAAUGAGCACUGAAAAUAAGACUUCUUGGAAUCUCUGAAGCCAUCUCAGACAAGAGGAGCCUGGAAAGGAAACUAAAUUAAAAUCCACAGGAAUUUCAUACAAAGCAGAGUUGUGUCGUGACAAUUCUGAAAACGCGCAGACUGGCUUCUCAAGGGUAUAUUUCAGGCCUCUGGUGAAGUAGCAUAGGAUUUUCAAAAGCACCUUGGGGGCUGAUCUUCAUAUGCCUUUUUUUGUGUUACUACUAAUUGUUAGCUGCAGUCUAGUAACAAAACUAACAAAGGAAGGACAGCAGAAAGUUAGUUCAGCUCCGAUAUGCUUGGGUGUGAAUGUGAAGUAGCCUGUGAUGACCACGAUGACAGGAUUUGUCUGCAGUGUUUCCUUCAGCAUCAUGCACAUGUGAAGGAAGGGUGGCUGCCAAACAUGACAGUCUGAAGUCUCGGCCAGGAGAAAACUAACAGGUACCUCUGUCAGGUUGUUAGCUGCCCCAGAUGGUGCAAGAAGAAAAUUUAGAGCUGACCCAAAGCCUGGGUGUUUUUCCUGGGCACUACCAUCUCUCUGUAGGCUUUUGUAAGCUGUUAUCUGCUUUGCAUUUCAUCAAUACACACUCUUAUUCACUUUGAUCUUAACUCUGACUUGAAGCUAGGCAUUUUGCUUUUUUUUUUUUUAAAGUUGACGGCUAACUGCAAUGCUAACAAAUCCAGUCACUGUGAGUUGGGUGGUCUUUAGUGCUGGUACUCAUUCCCUCGUGCUCCUUCAGGAUGUCCAAAGGAAAAUGCAAGUGCCCACACGUGUACCAUAGGCUGGGUUGUGGAUCUCCAAAUGGAGUCUAGGAAGGACAGAAGUCUUCUGUUAAUCAUUGAUUACUGGAAAAAGACAAAACCUUUGGAGUACAUUCUGAUGGCUGAAUCCCUGCUCUUCAGACUGUCCCACGCUGCUUUCUGCUUAGGAAACAAGCUCAGGACACUCCUUGCUGAUCACCCUUUUUAAUUCAGUCUGGUCUUUCCUACAGGACCAGAAAGACGUCUACUUGAGCACUUGCAUAAUUCUGCUCUGCCCCAGUCAGGCAGAGCAGUGUUUGCAACACCUAACCAUAGCAAUCUACUGCAGGCAGCUGGUGCCGAAGACCACUCUCCUCAAGCUUCCCUGUUCGAAUCAGGCUCCUUGUGGGCUUGAGUCCCCUGUUAUUGACCCAGAAGGGAGCAUGCCUUCCUCUGUUGUGGAUCCCUUUAGCUCUCUGCACUGGUUUCUGACCGGUGGAGCAGGGAUGUAGGGUCAGCAUUAAAGCAGCAUUACAAGUGCUGAAGUACUGUCGAGCAGGGUGCAACCAGAUGCUGUGGUGAAGGACUGGCAGAGCAGAAGGACCAUGGUCUACCAAAGGUGAAUUUGUUCUGAAAUCAUCUCCAGAAGUGACAGAAAUCUUACAGCAACAUGCAGUGCCCCUACAAGUAAUUUUUCGACUGGCAGGUAAGUGAAGGGUAAAUUAACUGGCAGUGCUUUGCUUUGAAAUACUGUAUUUAAUUGCAGAUGUUCCAGGAAUAUAGAUAUGAUGCUUCACAGACUCUGCUUUUAAGAACUUUCCUUACAUAUAGGGAAGGUGUGGGGGUGUGAGGAAGAAGUUGCCUGGUUGCUCUUCCUCUUUAAGGAUCACUCUUAAGCUAACGGGUCGUGUUGUGAUGCUGCUUUGCUAUGCUUGGUAAAUGAAUUGACCUUUCAAACAUUAAAUUUCCGAUGUUUUCUAUAGGAAGCCUAAAAAAGACCCCAACAAACAUCUUAUUCACUGCUAUAUUCUGUUCUCUUUGUUAGCAGUUUUCCAAGGAACUUCCCAAUAGCAGCAUCCCUGUCCCGUCCCGUGCUUUACUCCUUGACAGUGCCAGACAGCCAGUGUCCACAGAGGUGCUCUCAGCCCGCUUGAUGGUUUUUAUUCUGGUCCUGCCUGCACCCGUGUAGCUCUGUUACACUAUUACUGAAAACACUGGGAUACAAAGCCCUCUGCACAGGCCAUGAGAGAGGGACUCUGCCUUCUUACUCCCUCCCAGCGUCGUGGGGGAGUGUUGUAAUACCGCACCUCCACUCGUCACACCGGUUGUCUGCAAGGCAGACUACUUGUCUUCCUGUGGUUGGGGAGGAAACUGCCACCCACCUUGCUGUCCCUGACUUCCAGUCCUCAUGGCUGGGUGUCUGGAAGCUGUACCUGUCCCGCAGAUCCACCUCUUGCUCUGCCCUUCCAGAGCACUGAUGUCCCACCAGGGAACCCAACCCCCUGUCCAACCCAUCACUACUGACUUGCAGGCGCCUGUCUCUCACCGAGCCCUUUCAUCCAGAGAAGCCUGUGAGCAAAUGCUAAGUGGGUCUAACGCGUGUUUAGUCCUCUGAGAGGGGACUGCAGGAGCACUCCAGACUGACACACGGACAUUUGGGGUGGGAAGCUGGCUCCCCAGCUUUUCCGUGCUUCUAUCUUUGACUUGGCUGGAGGCAGUCCAGUGAAGAUCCAGCUGCCUGCCUGCAUGCUGGAAGGCUGCCUGAAACAGGCUCCCCUCACAGUGGUACAGAGGAGGUGGUGUGGGACACCACCAGGUUCUGCCAGGCGUUGCAGCUCUUCUGAGACCUUCUGGGACCUCCCAGGUACUACUCUUUCCAUGCUCCAGCUGACUGAUGGGGUCAAAUCUUACUUGGGUCACAGCAAAUGAAGUCUAAAAGUGAAGACAUUUCUUUUAACUCACACUGCUGUCUCAAGGGGCUGCCUUUUUCAGCAAGCUACUGGCUGUACGAGGAAUUUUUCCUGACUCAAAAGUGGUUCUAGCUUAACUUCUUGCACUGCAGGAGCUAGUUUGAUGGGGCACACGUUCCUCUGAGGAACAUACCUUUUAAAAACACAGCAGGGUAUUCCUAUUGUGAUAAGACACCGGUUCGUGAUCUGCAUUUGGCUGAUGCCAGCCAUGAUCAGCAGGCCUCGGAAGAGACAUGCCAAUGGGAACCAUUGGUGAAGUGAUGCAAAAGCCUGGUGUGGCAGUGGCCUGAUCCUGCCCCUCUUCCUGUGAUGUAGCCAGUCCUGAUUAAAACCUAUGUGUGGUCAAAAGCA